UGGAAUGGGACACAUGGAGGGGCUGAGGUGGUAGAUGGAAUGGGACACAUGGAGGGUCUGUGGGACAGAGGGAAUGAGGCCCCUUCAUGUGUCCCAUUCCAUCUACCCCCUCAGCCCCUCUAUGUGUCCCAUAGGCU